CUGUGGUCUAAAUCUGCCACAUUAUUGAAGGGGCAGAGAAAGCUCUCAGGCCAUUGGACUUAUUUCUAUUCUGGAUUAUUUCUAUUGGAAACUAUUAACCUUUGUCCAUGCAAGUUGGCAAAGUGAAGGAAUACAAAUGUUAUCUGUGAAAUUACAACGUUCAACGUUGGGCAAUGUACACUGGGGAUGAAGAGUGUGAGUGGAAUGGAUCGUUGCAGAGACAAAGGAUGUUCCCGUAUUUGUUUAUUGUGCGAGGCCCACCCCUCCCUUCCGUGUUGUUGAUGGCCAUCCACACAGUGAGAUGCCUCCUGAGGGUUUGACCACGGGGCAGGGGUUUCCAGUACCUGGUUGACUGGGAGGGUUAUGGCCUGGAGGGGAGAUGCUGGGUCCCCGCUAGAGACAUCCUGGACCCAACCCUCAUCACUGACUUCCACCGCCGGCACCCCGGUCAACCAGGACCACUCCGUAUCUGACACUUCCUCAAAAUAAGCUCUUCAGCAGAAGCGCCUCUUGGGGAGAGUGUCUCGGUUGGCCCUCUGCGACACAGCAAUCACCCACCACCACCAUAGCAGGAGUGUGACAAUCGUCCAAGAGGUGUCAUAACAGCUGCCUCGGUUGCGGCGACGUAAAUAACCAUGGCGACACGACGAACUACCUCCCCGACAAUGCAUGCUUCCCCCAACUGCCUCAUGACCCAAUGGAAGUCUGCCUGGCUGCCCCUACUGUGUGUAAGCAACUCAACACGGAGAGGGAAGAGAUCGUACUGUCAGACAGACGACCCAAGACAAGUGGUAACACUGUACUUGAACCAACCGUGCCACAAAGCAUACUUUACAUGGACAUUAGCAAGGUAUAACGGAGCUCGUAGGUUGUCACCAUAGCUGGCAAUAGGAUGCUAGCUCAUCUGCUAGCACCCUAAAUUGCAGAAAAUGUCAACUUUAUCAUAGGACAAUUGACGUCAUGCUAUAUUUUGGACGAGGUAAACUGAGCUUCAUAAUGAGCUUUUGGAAAUGAGGUGACAGGUCAGAGGUCAGCUCAAGCCAUAUAUCUCCUAUAGCGGUCCCCACCCCUCUUUUGAUGAUCCUGGGAUGGGCUCUGACCUCAAACCUCUGACUUCUGACCUCGGACGGGACCGGUCAAUCAAUCAAACCCCUGUUAUAAAAUGGGGCAGAGAAGUGUGCUUGAACUGAUAAGCUGUGGCCAGAAAAAGACAACAAAAUAUGUUUUAUUGUUCCAUAGUUUAAUUAGAGAACAUGUUCAAAACUGCCUUUUCCCACAUCUCUGCUAUCUGUUUAUAUUGGACAAAAAAAACAGAGCAAGAUUUUUUGCUAGUCAUGUCAUUCAAUUGAAUAAAGCUCAAUGCUUUAAUUAUAAAAGCACUUUUUCAUUUUUAUAACUAGGCCAGAUCCUAAGCCUGUCCUGAAGCAAGUAUUGGCUGGCACAGCAAGGCCAUAAGAAACUCCCUCAGCUAACAAGAGACUAAGAUGGGAACCUUGAGUUUGAGAUGGUAACCUGGAUUUGGCUUAUGAAGAGCUCUUAAUGAGCUCUUAAUGUCCCCCAGGGGACUGCUAGCUUGAGCAUUAAGCCAGCCCUCACCUCCACUAACCCUCCCUCGCCCCCCCCCCCCUUGCUCCUGUCAUCCAUCCUGUGCUUUCCAUCCGACAACACCUUAUCUCCUCCCCACAUCGUAGACGUUCAGACAGUGCUGCUUGUCCUCCUGGUGGUUCAGAUAAGAGAAUCUGUGAUCCUUAACGGCACCCUGUUCCCUAUAUAGUGCAGUACUUUUGACCAGAG